rnacentral:tRNA from 1 species
GGUGUUGUGGCUCAGGGGUAGAGCUCUUGCCUAGCAUGUUGGUAGAGUGCUUGACUCGGUUGUACAAGGCCCUGGGUUCAAUCCCCAGCACCACAA